rnacentral:misc_RNA from 1 species
AUAAGAUCCAAGAUUUUUUAUUUAAAACUUUUUACACCCCUUUGUGUAUUAAUGUGCAAAGGGUCAGUGUGUUGUUAAUAAGGGUUGCAAUUCGUAUGCUAAAUCCUUUAAUGUAUAAGGUUGGCUAUUUUCAUUAAAUUUGGUGAAAGCAUUCACUAUGUGCAAUCCAAUACUCCAUCAAAGUUCGCAUCUAUCUCAAAAUAUAUUAUCGACAAAAAAUCAAAGAUAUAAAAAAGAAAAGAGAAAAAAAUCUUCUUUGGAUUUGGGCGAUUGGUAGAAAUUCAUGAAAAUUGACUCUACA